rnacentral:rRNA from 1 species
GUAUGCCUAACACAUGCAAGUCGUACGAGAGUUUUUAACUCAAGUGGCGGACGGGUGAGUAACACGUGAGAAUUUGCCUUUAGGAGAAGAACAACAAUUAGAAAUGAUUGCUAAAACUUCAUAUGCUUUCGAGUGAAAUAGAUUUAUCUGCCUAAAGAGAAGCUCGCGGCUGAUUAGCUUGUUGGUGAGGUAAUGGCUUACCAAGGCGACGAUCAGUAUCUGGUUUGAGAGGACGAUCAGACACACUGGAACUGAGACACGGUCCAGACUCCUACGGGAGGCAGCAGUGGGGAAUUUUCCGCAAUGGGCGAAAGCCUGACGGAGCAAUACCGCGUGAGGGAAGACGGCCUAUGGGUUGUAAACCUCUUUUUUCAGGGAGGAAUAACUGACGUGUACCUGAAGAAUAAGCAUCGGC